rnacentral:pre_miRNA from 1 species
AAUAUACUCCCUCCGUUCAGAAAUACUUGUCACCAAAAUGAAUAAAAGAUGAUGUAUCUAGAUGUAUUUUAGUUAUAGAUACACCUCUUUUUAUCCAUUUUGAUGAUAAGUAUUUUCGGAUGAAGGGAGUAUAUA